GCAAAUUGAAAUUGAAUGUUCAACUAGUAUUCCCUCUGUAUCAUUUUAUUUGAUCCAGUGUCAAUUAAAUUGACACAACUUUAAGUGUUUUCCUUCAUUCUUCUAGCGGUAGACACCUUCGGUUGCUUCUAUCGAUGUAGUCACAGAUAGACAAAAAAGGAAGGCCAAUUACUCAAGGAUCUAUGUUUGAUUCCAUAUUGCAAUUGUUGUUCAAUUUCAUUGAUCAAGCUACCUUAUUUUGCCUUCAUCACUGUAACCUGAAGCACCAUUAUCCUUUAGUUAUAUUUACCUCCGAAAAAAAAAACUAUCUUUCUUGAUAAUAACAGAUGGAAGUUCAGCAAAAUAUAUUAAAAGAGUAUUAUGGCAAAAUAUAGUAUAAUCUCAAUGCCAACAGUAAAGCCUAAUUAAACAUGAAAAAGAGAUGUCUGAUGCAAGAAAAAGAAGAAAAAAUAUUGAUAAUGGUAUAGAUCAGAUACAUGAAGUUAUAAUAAAGUAUUACAAAAUGUCCAUUUAUCAGCAAUGUAUAAAACAUGUGACAACUACAUAACCGACAUACUUCAAACUGCAAACCUCAUAUGAACAAAUUGUAGAAGUAUUGAAGAAUCGUAAAGUUAUUAAGAGUUAAAAGGACAGCUAAAUACUCGUCCUCCCCAUCCAAACAAUUCUACAACUACUAGCAAUAAUGUCAAUCAUUCUAAGAAAGAGUUGAUACACAAAUUUCAAACUAUUAAUGAACCUAUUCUUUUAUUUCUGAUUAAAAAUCUGAUAUUUUUUGCCAGCAAUUCUUUGCUUGUCUAUCAGAGAAUGGAUCACAAGAAAUUCAUGAUACACAAUUAUCAUGAUAAAUAACUCUUCCAUUUUUUGAAGUACAUUAAGUGAGUAAUGAACUAUAAUAAAGGCUUUUAGUGAUUUGGUAAAAUAGGAAAGACACAAAUUCUUCAGUUGUUGAUUCUUUUAAAAAACUCAUCGCAAUUUCAAGAAAAUCAUAAUAUAAUAUUGUGAAUAAUAUAUAGUUUAUAAGUUAAAAUCUUGAAUAAUCAAGAUCUUAAUCAUGUAUCUUUUCGAGUACACUUUAGGAGCUCACCACCUCUUGCAGGGAUCAAUACACAAAAUGAGCGUUUCUUUCGAAAAAUUCCCAAGCAAAUCGGGAGCCAUGACAGAGCAUAUAAGGCUUAAUAACGGUACUUUUGGUAGCCCAAAAACCGGCUCAACACCUAUUUAUUGACGACCUUUCGGAUUGUCCAUCUCAUUUCUUGAGAUCAUGGAGGACAAAUAAAAGUGUCUUGUCUUCUUUACAAAUAUUGUAUUUAGAAUUUUUCUAAAAAAAAAAUAGUUGCUAGCAAAAGCGACUUUGUGUCUACUAAUCGUCUAUCUUGAGUACAGGUACAUGUAGAAGGCAAGACCCUGACAAAUGAUUUCAGGUGAAACUAUUUUUAAUUUACCAGAAGAACCAUUGCAUGUCAUUGCCAAGAGGGCCAUUGCAUAUCAUCAUCAUUCAAUAUCUGUUGACGCGCUAGACACAAUGUUGACGUCGAGGAUAUCAUUAUCAUUCAAUAUCUGUUGACGCGCUAGAAAUAAUGCUGGCGUCGAGGAUAUCAUCAGCAGUCAAUAUAUCUGUUGACAUACAAGACACAACGCUGGCGUCGAAGAUAUCAUCAGCAUUUAAUAUAUCUGUUGACACACAAGACACAAUGCUGGUGUCGAGGAUAUCAUCAUCAUUCAAUAUCUGUUGACGCGCUAGACACAAUGUUGGCGUCGAGGAUAUCAUCAUCAUUCAAUAUCUGUUGACGCACUAGAAACAAUGCUGGCGUCGAGGAUAUCAUCAGCAUUCAAUAUAUCUGUUGACACGCAAGACACAAUGCUGGUGUCGAGGAUAUCAUCAUUAUUUUAUAUCUGUUGAGACAUAAGACAUAAAUGCUGCCAUCGAGAAUAUCUUAUCAUUUUAUGAAUCAGUAUCUGAAUGCAUCUAGAGCACACGAUUUGAAGGGAGUCCUUUAAGUCGCUAUCUAAGGAUGAAUGAUAUAUAAGAUUUCCUAAAAAUUGAUAAUUUGAGGGUCAUUUAUAAGUCAUAUUAUUUAAAAUAGGAUAGUGUUUAAGAUCACCUAUGAGUUGAUAGACUGUAGGUCAUCCGUAAGCCAUAACAACAUCCUAACCGAAUAGUAUGCAAGAUUACCCAAAAAUCGAUAGUUGAAAGGUUAUCCAUAAGUCACAACUAAAUCCCUACCGGAGAAUCUGCAAGAUUAUCAAAUUGAUAUGUCCAAGGGUUCUCUAUAAGCUGCGUCAUAUCCAAGAUCAAUUAUGUGCAGGAUUACCCAAUGACUAACAAUUUGAGGGAUUAUCUAUAAGUCAUAUUGUAUCCAAGGUCGGAUGAUGUGCAGGAACACCUGCAAGCUAGCGAUUGGAGGGAUAUCUGUAAGCCAUCUCUUAUCCAAAGUUGGAUAAUACGCAGGAUUACCUAAAAGCUAGAAACUCAAAGGAUAUCUGUAAGUCGCCUCGUAUCCAAUAUCAAAUAAUGCGCAAGAUUAUCCAAAGAUUGAUAAUUUAAAGGAAAAUUAUAAAUCGAGCAUCGGUUAUAACCGAAGAAGUUAUCAUUUCACAUACAAAAAGUGAUAUAGGUAACCAAAAGAGUUGCCACACCAGCACAAGAUUACACGGUUGCAGGGACCGUGCUGCAUAAAGUAUCGCCGGUGUCCAAAAGGGCCACCCCACUUUGAAGACAUAUUCAAUCAACAAAUGUCAUAAUUAUACAACAACCAAGAGGUUUGUCGUGUUUUUGCCAGUUAUUUCAUUCCAAACAGGUACAUAAAGAUAUGAUUCCGAUUUUCAGGCCACAACUCACGUGGAGAUAUGAUAAAAGACUACAUACCUCUUUCGUGAAUUAUGUUUAGCACUAACACUUUUUGCCUGAAGCAAUGUCGAGAGCAUCCGAGAGUAUGAAAAUCUCAAAUCAAAACCACUGGUGCGGACGACUUCAGAUAGGAUGCAACACAACGUGAAACUCUUUCUUAGCAGCAAAACGGGACAUAUUCUAAAGAGGGACGUCAAAAUCUUUGGAUGCGAGUUAAAAAAUAAUCACCACCACCAUCCAACCACAUCCCUAUUAGAAGGAAUUUGGGAAUUCUCGAAUAUUCUAGUUUCAGCUUCACCUUCGGGAUAUUCCUAAACUCAUACCGAGGGUAAACUUUGCUUUCUUUCAAAUCCGAGUGACAACACACCUAGAGUUUUGGAAAUUAUGUCUAGGUAAAUUCUUGCCUAUGGAUGUGAAGGAUCCCACAUUCAUGGUAAAGUGGUUACAAGCCUCUUUUCCACAACUCGAUCAUUAACUUGUCACUCAUCCCGAGUCAACGAUCGUUUGAAAUAGAAGACUAUCUUUUCUACCGAUCGAGUCGAACUACAAGCAGUCUGAUUCCCUAAAGUAUCGGGGAUAUGUAGGCUAGGAUCUACAUAUAAAACUCGACUGCAUUCCAACCUCCCCGUAAAUUCCUUUAUUCCCCAGCUUUUCAGUUUAUCAAAAGCUCUAAAACCGCGAUAGUUGGUGAAUUUUCUUGAAAAUCGUGCUUAAAAUCAAGCUUUAUGAACUACAAGUGGCCUGAAUUCUUAUGCAACCUGAGAUAUGUAGGAAACCUGAUAUCGAGGGUCGGCCAUAACUCCAUGGAACUCGUGUGGAAAACCAACCUCUCUUAGAUACAAAUUUAUGGUCAGACAAAAAUUAGGAACGUCAACCUCCCUUUGCCCAGGAUUACUUGCAUCCAUCCUACCCAAAGGGAGGGGACAGUUGCUGACACCUAAUUUUUACUCUCCACAACUACGUUUAAUCUCGAGUUUCUUUGAUUUUUAAUAAAAUAACAAUAUUUAUUUUAUCGAAUAAAGAAAUUUUUCAAAAGUAUUUAUCGGGGUAAUUUCAUUAUUUUAAGUAGCGAUUAUAAAUUAUCGUAUUCAGUUGUAUGAAGUUGUAAUGUUGUUACUUAAAUAUCUAUUUUUAUAAAAAUAUCGAAUUUUAAUCAAGGUUGUCUUGAAAUAAAUUAUUAUGACUAAAAUCUUGAUUUAAGUAUAAUUUAUUCUUGAAAAUGACUUAUUCGAAUAAAUAUAUGUUUGAUUUUAUCGAAUCAAGAAGCUCGGAGUUAAAUGAGAUAUUAAUCAAUUUUGAAUUUUUAUUUAAUUUGGCCAUAAUUGAAAUCAAAUUGGCCACAAUUACGAUGCAAUUGGACAAUUGAUCUUCAAUUUGUCCAAAACAUAAAUGAAUGGCCAAAUCCCCAAUUUGGACCUAAUUAGCAAAUCAGUAGAAGCCCAAUUACCCUUCAAUGGACCAUCACCAAUGGCCCAAGCCACACCAGCCCACUUCCAUUAAUAACCCGGCCCAAUUCCAUUCUCCUCUUCAAACAUAAACCAUUAGAAAAUAACAACAACGUCAACGACCUUCAUCAAUAAAGGACAACUCUUCUCAACCAUCGUAACAGUACCAACGUUAGCCCGACAAUCUCACCAUACCCGCGAACCCAUCUAACCUGUCUCUCUCUUCAACCUGACCCAUUGAUUAAGCCAUUUUCUUUGAUGAGUGUUCUAGAAACUGGACACCUCACGCACCAUAAAGCUCAAAUCCGCGAAUCUCGAUAACAAUGGUAUGAUUUCGUACAUGUAUGUCACAAUUUCAUUGGCUCUUGGCAGAAAUUCAUUUUUCCUAAAUCUUAUUGGUCCACCAAUUUUAAAAUUGGUACAAUCGGUAUAAUUUGUUGGGGGUAAUCCAAUUUUGAAAGAUUUUGAAUUCCUUUUUUUUUUUAAGUUCCUAACCUACCCCUAAUUCAUCUUCUAUAUAUAGACCCCUUGGGUCACUGUUUUGGGGGAUUUUUUUUUUGGAUUCUUGGCUCUGGGAUUCAAAAUUUUGGGUUGAAAAUUCUGGGGGUCGAAAAAUUUUAUAAGUCUGAGAAGAGAGGAAAAUUUGCUCGUUUUGAGAAAUUUUGGGUUCGAAAAAGGGGGAAAUUCUGGAAAAACAAAAGGAGACUGCUUUCAGUGAAAGUUCUUGUGUCUAAGGAAGGUUGGCGAUUGUUCAGAGUCUUUUAUUUUUUCGGAAUCACGGUGAGGUCUUCGGUAGUAGUUAAAAUUUCGUUGAAGCCUGGAGUCCCAUUUUGCUGCUACCGAACAGGUAACAUACCAUUCCUUUAAUUGUUCGAUUGCUUCUACUUCAUCUCACUAUUCUGUAGUAGUAAGUAAUUUGAGAUCAUUCUGUAUGCUGGGUUGUCUGCUGUAGAGGCCUCAAAGGCCAUACGUUUCUGUUUUUUAUUCUAUAUGCUGGGAUUUAUCUGUCUGUUUAAGAUGUCUUAAGGAUCAUAAAUUACUGUUUUAUUGAAAGACGUUUGGAUGUAUUGUUAUGUCUUAAUGCCUCAUUUUGUGUAAUACUUGUGGCUUGAAUAGUUGGCUUUUUGGUCAAAGUUUGUUGCUUUGAUUGAGUUUAAUAGUUUUAUCUUGAUGUUGUUUGUUCAUAGUUGUUACUUGACACGUAUUUUGGUUGUUAUUAUUACUGGAUGGUGUUGCAAUUAUUGAGCUAGCAGCGUCGCUAGCAAAACUACCUCUUAGGUUCCUUUGGCUUCUCAUAUGCCAAAAGGAUAACGAGCAAGGUCUAAAAUCGUAUCGAAAAAGUCCUAGGAUACCUCAACGACCGCUUCAUUAGAAUCUGUCAGAAUGGGGAGGAGGGUUGGAAUAAUAGUUAUCCUUGCUGUAGUUUGUAGGGUUGUGGUUAGUCUUAUUUUUCUCGUCCCAUUAGGACGUGAUGGGCUCUAAAUUGUUGACUUUGGAGGUUCUAUUUUCCCUUUCUCAUUUGAGUUUCCCGGUUAUAUAUAUUCGUUAUGGGAAUACAUGCGAGGUUUUCAUUUAUGAAUCUUGUAGAUUGUCGAUUUUGAUUAGUGAUAGUGUCGACUUGGGCUUAUUUGUGGAGGGUUUUCUUUUAUGUUUAUAUUUUUAUCUUUCUUCUCGAUUAUUGUUUCAAAAAAAAAAUGUUUGGGUGUAAUCCCUUAUCUCUUAUUUAAAGUCAUUUGAGAAAUUGUUGAAAUUAGUUUAGCUGGUUUGUGUUUGAAGUAAAAGUUUUGUUAAAUCUCUUUGGUUUACGAUGUCUAAGAGGCUUAACGAAAUUAAAAACCUGCGUUCUUGUGAAAACAGAACUAAAAGGGAAAUGUUCAUGAUAUGUUCUCGCCUUUGAAAGUUCUUAUGCCAAAUCUUUCUGUGGGUAUUGUUUGGUCCAAGAGCUUUUAUUCCUGUUCAUGGAAAUUUUCACUGAUUCACUUUUGUGUUUCUUUUGGAAACUGAAAAGGGGAUUAGAACAACUAUUGAGGCAUUGAGUUUGGAAUUUUAUGAGCUUAGACGUGAGGUUUGAAUUGCUUUUAUGUGUUCAUGCGAUUUUAAAUUUGUAUUAGGAUUGUAUAAUGAAUGUUUGUUACAUAUAAUCCUUGCUGACACUUAUUCAUAAACACGAGAUAGCAGAUUUUGGCUUCUCUUUGUGUUUCACUUUAUAUUUUGAACAUGCUCUCGAAAUAAAAAUUGCUAAUACACAAUUAUAACCUCUUUCAAGUAGUAAACUGAAUUGUAUUAAGUAACAGUAAGGUGGAGGCAACAUUCCAAAGAGAAUGUGUUAAAUUAUGUGGUAUCUUGUUCUUUUCCUAUGCUGCCAUCACUCUAUUUUAUUUUAUUUUAUUUUAUUUUAUCUUGUCCCUUUGCCAUUACUCAUAUCACUAUGACUUAUUGAGUGAUGUUUAAAUUUAUCAAAUUAUGUGAUUCAGAUUCUAAUUUCUUGCCUUUUCUUCCUUCACAUGUCAAUUUGCAUUGGAGUCCACAAUAGACUCCUUCCUAUCGCAUUAUCAAGUGGGCCAGUGAGGCCUAUAUCCUCAAGGAUCAAUUCCCGAAGUGAUUCUAUGGCACUCCAGUUAGAAGAUAGAAGCAGAUAGUGGGCCCAAGAUCAUUGACAAAGUUACUAGGAUUUGGAAGCACAAAAAGUCUCAUCUUCUUUAGUUUAUUUAGCGUUGAGUUGAUUGUUUUUUAUUCAUUUAGUUGUUUAUUUAUGCAUUCAUUCGGGCCACGAAGCCAAGGUUGUAUCUAAUACAGGUGGAGUAAGAUUCGAGCCAAAUGCUCGACAAUUAGAUUAGGACAAGUGAAAUGGGUCGAAAGCCCAAUUAGACUAGGGCAGGUCUCGUUGAUUUAGGACCAAUGGCCUAAAUCCUUUACUUUCUCCUCCCUUCCCCUUUUAAUUGUUUAUUUGUUUAUCAGUUUUGUUUUGACUUAGUGAAAAUCCCUACUAAGUCGCCUAAAUCUAUUUUACACAUUUUUUUUUAAAAUCAAAUCACUAUUUCAACAAAUUAAUCUUUUCAGAAGUUAAUCAAAAGAUGUUUUCAAACAGUCAGGAUAACCGCAAGUUAGCGGAUGUUUUAGGUGCAUAACACCUUCCUAAAACGUUAAUAGGAACCGCUUAUCUAGAAUCUCUAACUUAAAAUGAUUUUUUUAUUUUGAAUCGUUUGAAGUAACUCUCUAAAGGUUUCUUAAUUCCUUUUCAAAAUUAAGUGGCGACUCUCUCAAAAAAUCAAAAAAUUUCACAAAACAGAAAUGGUGACUCUGCUGGGGAUUGAUUAACUAGGUUCUAACCAAAUAUUUAAUUUCGUCUUUUGAUUAACUGUUUAUGUAUUUAUAUGUUUCGAUUCUGUAAAGUUUAAUUAUCAUAUAUCAUGGCAUAUUCCUACAUUAUUUAAACUGUUUUGGGGUUUCGUGGAGUCCCGACCCCUAUUGUUCAAUUUCAAUAAUGUGUUGGAAAUACGAAUAGCUUAUUAUCACGUGAGUUGUCUGAUGGCUAUUCGUAUUUUCAAACUCAAGUUAUCCACUUGAGAACCAGUGUUCAAACCCACUCUAGACACCUAGGAUAGAACGAAAUCAAAACCUUAUUUUAGGCAUGAGCCUAGGACGACUCAAUACCCGAGCGGGGUAUUGGACCCAUUAGAAAACCUGCCCUGCAUUUAUUGACCCCAAGUAAAUUAUAGACGAAUCAUAUUUAUGUAUUGAAGAAAAUGUAUGCCUAUGUAAUUCAAUCCAUUAUCCUUUGGGGGUUGGGAAAACGCUUGAUUUGCUUAUUUCGUAAGAAGAAUUGAAGCAAGUUAAGAAAGAAAUUGAUCGAUUUGGGAGGUUGCAUCUAAGGCCCAGUUUAUAGAUGUCACCAAUAUAGGAAAUGGACAAAGCUAAGAAGGCGAAGGCUGAUAGAAGAAGCACUCAGGAAUUAGUAUUUUCUAUCCCCUGCGUGGGAGCUUAUCUUCUUUCAUUUUAUUUCCCUUUUUCCCUAAAGAUUGUAUCCCUCUUUUGUGAUCGUUUGUAGGUAUUUAUGCCCUUUUCAUGUCUAUAUAAGUUGGGGAUAAUGGAUUGACUUUAAGGAAGCAUAUAUUUUCUUCAAAAUCAUUAGGCCUGAGCCCUUGGCUCAAAAAGGGUCACCCCAGUUAGGAUACGCAUUAUUAUAAUGUUUUGUGUAAUAUAAUUGUCUUAGAUUCUUAUGUGUGUUUGUUUGGAUCAAAGGCAAGUUUAUCCGCUAUGCUCCUAUGGAUGAAUUUGGCUAUGACUCAAACAACUCUACGUGAUUAUUUCUUGUCAAAUAUUUUGCAUUACUUAUCACAUACGGAAACUAACACAUCUACCUUUGAAUUGUUUUACUUUACAGAUAAUAGAAAAAUACUCUGUGUUGAUAUAAGCUGGCAGAGCAUCCCUAUUUCACCCGGUCAAAAGCACACAAAAUCCCAUUCUCUGACCAUCAUUCAAUAAUGACUGGAAAUGACGAAGAAAAUACAUUGACCAUCAGGGAUGAUAUAAUAGCGGAACAGAGUAAGAUGAUUGUGGAACUCGAAAGAAAAUUAGAAAUGCUUUAGGAGGAAAUAAAUCGCACUCAAGAUUUGGCUAACCUGGCCAUCACUAUCAAUGCUCCCGCUCCAGGAGGACACGGGACUCCACUCCAAAUCCUUUCCCUCAGUACGCCUAUUCUCGGGGAUUAGCCAAAUAACAUAUUGUCCGUCUCUACCUCUCUACUUGUCCAAAAUACCAAUCGCAAAAAUAACCCGGAUGCCUACCAUCCACAAAAUCGAUCUCUAACAUUACGAAACCCAUCUCUGAAUCCAUUCCCAAAUCCCUAUAACACAUUUUCAAAUCAAGGAAAUUCAUUUUCAAAUCCACAAGAUUCGUUCCCAAACCCGCAAAAUCCAUCAAAUCUAUCCUCGAAUCCACCAAAUUCGAUUCCAAAUUUGUAGAAUUCUUCUCAGAUUCCACCAAACUACUCGUAAAUUCAACAGAACCUUUCCAAUUUCUAAAACGUUCGCCCCACCUACCAACCAACUUUCUUUCUUCCUCAAAAUCAAGCCUCUCUUCCAAAUCCUCCUCAUGCCAUCAUAUCCCCUGACAUCUAUAAUCCCCUUUCUAAUCCCGAGAUCGACCAUUAUGAGGAGAAGGAGAAAGAGUGGAGGACCGAGCAUGAAAUAAAAGUGCUAGCUAUGAAUGAAGAGAUCAUGAAGAUAAAAGAAUCUCAUGGAGUGAGAGACCACGAUGGUUUAGGUUAUGAUGAUUUAUGUGUUCACCUUGGAAUAGAUCUACCAGAAGGGUAUAAGGUCCCUAAAUUUAAAGUGUUCGAUGGCAUCGAAAAUUCAAUGGCCCAUCUGAGAAGGUAUUGUGAUCAAAUAGUGGGGGUAGGGAAAAAUAAAGCAUUAUUGAUGCGUUUGUUCAGCGGGAGUUUAAGUGGCGAAGCCUUAGAAUGGUUCAUAUCUCAGGAACUGAAAAGAUGGACUGGUUGGAAAGCAUUGGCCAAGGGUUUUCUUGACAGGUUCGCAUUUAACAUUGAGAUAGUCCCUGACCGAUACUCACUAGAUCGGAUCAAACAGAAGAAUAAUGAGUGUUUUUGAGACUACACUUUUCGUUGGAGAAAAGAGGCUGCUAAAGUACAACCUUCCAUGUCUGAGAAAGAAAUAGUAUCGAUUUUCUCUCACGCACAGGAAAGAGAAUUUUAUACCAGGAUGGUAUCCGCGGUCCGAGAAACUUUGGCAGAUUUAGUAAAGAUUGGGGAAUCAUUAGAGGAAGGCAUCCAAACAGAAAAGAGAGGAUGCGACUGCAGUCUCUACUAAUUCUGUUGAUAAGCUAAAGAGGAAAUUCAAGCCUAGAAAUAUUCUUUCUUCAUCAUCCUCAUCAAGUUUUCAGCCUGUAUUCUAUGCUCAACUCCAAUGUCAAGCUCCAAUUCCAAAUAUUUUACCCCAGUUCCAAUUUCCACAACCAAAUUAUCAGCCUCAUGCUCAAGCUAUUUUUUAAAAUAACCAAAUAAACGUCCAAACAUCUCCAAAUUAUCAUCAAGUACCUCCUCCUAUAAAUCAGAACCAUUAUAAAUCUCCACAUCCAAACUUCAAAAAGAAACCUCCCCGAAACUUCACGCCGCUAGCUAAAAGUCGUACCUAGCUCUUUGGAAGAUUGAUGAAAGCUGGUUAUUUGCAACCAAUCCAGCCAAAGCCUAUCAAUCCCAACUCCCAGUUUUAUCAUCCCGAUCAAAAUUGUGCCUAUCAUUCAGGAGCAGCGGGACACAAUAUCGAGGAUUUUAUUAACUUUAAACAUAAGAUCCAAGAUUAGAUCGAUCAGAAGGUCAUCACACUUCAGUCGCCGACACCAAAUAUUAAUAGUAAUCUAUUGCCUAACCAUGGGGGACCUAAAGUUAACAUGAUUGAAAUAGAUGGUGAAUGGGUGUCUAGCAGGGUCAUCACUAAGGUAAAUUUAGAAGGACUCAAAAGAACAGAAAAGAUGGAGAAGAUAGAGAAAGUUGUGACUGCCUUAAGUAAGGAUUUGGAAGGAAUUAUUGAGCCUGUUAUGGUCCUAGAAAAAGAAUUUAAGCAUGGAAUAGAGUUCCAGCCAAGAAAAGAAGAUGGGAUUGAAGAUAAUUCAAAGGAAAAUCCAUCUAAACCAUCGCCACUCCUGCACCAAUCAUUUCCCGUACAUGAGAUGUCAAAUGAUGAUGGUCUUAAGGAUGGGAUAGGAAAUCAGUUUGAGGGAUGCAAUGAUGUACUAGAAGAUUUUUCAAAGCUAGUGAGAUAAAGAAGGUUGCACCAGAAGAGGCUUUACAAAAUUGGACUUCCACUCCACUCCUAAUUCGUCGCCCAUCGUGGUAGAUGAAAGGGCAAUUACUAAUAGUUUAAAAUCGGUGAUGAUCCGGAGGAGGCCCCGUGAUCCACCCUUUUAUGUCUCAAAUCUUUGUUUCGUGUUUUACAACUUUCAAAAAGGCAUGGGCCCACAUAUGUGUGGGUCAUAAGCCAUAGUUUUUAUUUAUUUUCCAAAAGGCCUCCCUUUAUUUAAGAAGUUAUUUUUUAAAUAUGAUUAUCUAGCAUGGUUUAUUUUGGUAGCAAUAAUUUAAAAACCUGCCAAUGUCAUGUCAUGUCAAGGGUUAGACGAGCAAGGCGAAGGAAAUAAUGAUAAAUAAAAAAGGUGAUGAGGAGCGGUUAGUAGUAGAUAUAGAGGAAUGUGAAAAUCAAAAUAAGCCCAACCUGGAGGAGCCCUAAUCCUACCUGAGAUGAAUGGUCAAGAGUGGACCAAACCAAUCAAUUCUGAUGCGGUAAAGAUAUAUCAUGCUUGAAAAAUAUUAUUGUUUUUAUUUCUUGGCUUAUUUGUAUUUGCCUUUAUAAUAGUAUCAAUUUUAUGAUGAGUAAUUACAUAGAAUCCUUCCCUUUAUGAACGAACUACGUUUGACCUGAAUUCUUAAGAAAGGGAUACGUAGGAGGCCUAUGUCGGCUUCGGUCAAUCCCUUAGAAAAAUUUAUCAUUUCCCUCUAUGUAUGAGCUACGUGAUGACCUGAAUUCUCAAGAUUGAGAUAUGUAGGCGGCCUAUGUCGGCUUCGGUCAACCCAUUAGAUUUUUUUAUAUAUAUCCCUAGCGUAGUCUUGAACUAUGUUUGACCUGAUUCCUACUUCAACGGGAUACGUAGGCGCCCCAACGACUCGGUCACAUAACCCUAAGAAAUAGAAAUUGGGGUAGAAUUUUCGAGAAUGAAUCUCAAAAAUUCAUAAGAGAAAAUCAACAAAGAGAAUGAAGACCAACAAAGACUUCAGAUUUACUCGAAAUGAUAUCAUCUCACAUUACUUUAAACUGGGGCAGAAAAUUUGAGGAAGGCCUCAAAAUCUCCACCAAAUAUUGAAAUAUAUUUCGAAUUCCCCAGCAAUAGAGGUCGAAAUUGAGAUUUGAGGAUCGUCACCUGCGAUAAAGUCUAGGAAGAUUGAAUCUCCACCUUUGAUAAAACUUCUAGAGAGAGCCUUGACAAUGCUGAAUCCCUAAAAAUCCUCCGUCAAACGUCAAACAUUGUCAAAAUCAAGAAAAAGACGGUCGUUGAGCUAGCACAUGACAUGAAUGACAGAGAUUUUUCAAAGUUUUGUAGGAGUUCUCGAAACUAUUUUCUAAAAAAUUAAGAGUACUUUCAAAAAAAUCUAUAUAAAUCUUUUACUUAGUGAUUGCCUAGAUAUCAAUUAGGACGGAGAGUCAAGGGUGGAAGUCCCAACAUGAUGAAAUACCUGAAAGAUGGAGAGGGCAAAUCAAGGAUCGUAGGAGGUCAAUACGGAGUAGUUUUAUUCAAACUACUCAUUUUUUAUGGAUGCAGGGAUCGAUACACAAAAUGAGAGUUUCUUUCGAAAAUCCCCAAGCAAGUCGAGAGCCAUGACAGAGCAUAUAAGGCUUAAUAACGGUACUUUUGGUAGCCCAAAAACCGGCUCAACACCUAUUUAUUUAUGACCUUUCGAAUUGUCCAUCUCAUUUCUGGAGAUGAUGGAGGACAAACAAAAUUGUCUUGUCUUCUUUACAAAUUUUGUAUUUAGAAUUUUUCUAAAAAAAAAAAUAGUUGCUAGCAAAAGAGACUUUGUGUCUACUAAUCGUCUACCUUGAGUAUAGGUACAUGUAGAAAGCAAGACCCUGAUAAAUGAUUUCAGGUGAAACUGUUUUUAAUUUAUGGAAGAACCAUUGCAUGUCAUUGCCAAGAGGGUCAUUGCAUAUCAUCAUCAUUCAAUAUCUGUUGAUGCACUAGACACAACGCUGAUAUCGAGGAUAUCAUCAAUAUUCAAUAUAUCUGUUGACACACAAUACACAAUGCUGGCGUCGAGGAUAUCAUCAUCAUUCAAUAUAUGUUAACGCGCUAGACACAACGCUGGCGUCAAGGAUAUCAUCAGCAUUUAAUAUAUCUGUUGACACGCAAGACACAACACUAGCGUCGAGGAUAUCAUCAUUAUUCAACAGCUUUUGAUGCGUUAAACACAAUGUUGGCAUUGAGGAUAUCAUCAGCAUUUAAUAUAUCUAUUGGUACGCAAGACACAAUGUUGGCGUCGAGGAUAUGAUCAUCAUUCAAUAUCUGUUGAGCUCUAGACACAACAUUGGCAUCGAGGAUAUCAUCAUCAUUCAAUAUCUGUUGACGCGCUAGACACAACACUGCCGUCGAGGAUAUCAUCAGUAUUCAAUAUAUCUAUUGACAUGCAAGACACAACGCUGGUGUCGAGGAUAUCAUCAUCAUUUUAUAUCUGUUGACACAAAAGACAUAAACGCUGGCAUCGAGAAUAUCUUAUCAUUUUAUGAAUCAGCAUCUAAAUGCAUCUAGAGUACAGGAUUUGAAGGGAUACCUUUAAGUCGCUAUCUAAGGAUGAAUGAUAUAUAAGAUUUAAUAGAAAUUGACAAUUUGAGGGUCAUCUAUAAGUCAUAUUAUUUGAAAUAGGAUAGUGUUCAAGAUCACCUAUGAGUUGAUAGCCUGUAGGUCAUCCGUAAACCACAACAACAUCCUAACCGGAUAGUGUGCAAGAUCGCCCAAAAAUCGAUAGUUCAAAGGUUAUCCAUAAGUCAUAACUAAAUCUUUACCGGAGAAUAUGCAAGAUUAUCAAAUUGAUACUUCCAAGGGUUCUCUAUAAGCCGUGUCAUAUCCAAGAUCAAUUAUGUGCAGGAUUACCCAAAGACUAACAAUUUGAGGGAUUAUCUAUAAGUCAUAUUGUAUCCAAGGUCGGAUGGUGUGCAGGAACACCUGAAAGCUUGCAAUUGAAGGGAUAUCUGUAAGCCAUCUCUUAUUCAAAGUCAGAUAAUGUACAGGAUUACCUAAAAGCUAGAAACUCAAAUGAUAUCUGUAAGUCGCCUCGUAUCCAAUAUCAAAUAAUGCGCAAGAUUAUCCAAAGAUUGACAAUUUAAAGAAAAUUUAUAAAUCGAUCCUUGGCUAUAAUCGGAAAGGUUAUCAUUCCACAUACAACAAGUGAUAUAGGUAACCAAAAGGGUUGCCACACCAACACAAGAUUACAUGGUUGCAAGGACCGUGCUGCAUAAAGCAUCGCCAGUGUCCAAGAGGGUCACCCCACUUUGAAGACAUAUUCAAUCAACAAAUGUCAUAAUUAUACAACAACCAAGAGGGUUAUUGUGUUUUUGCCAGUUAUUUCAUUCCAAACAGGUACAUGAAGACAUGACUCUGAUUUUCAGUCCAUAACUCACGUAGAGAUAUGGUAUAAGACUACAUACCUAUUUCGUGAAUUAUGUUUAGCACUAAUACUUUUUGCUUGAAGCAACGUCGAGAGCAUCCGAGAGGAAAAAAAUCUCAAAUCAAAACCACAGGUAUGGACGACUUUAGAUAGGAUGCAGCACAACGUGGAACUCUUUCUUAGCAGCAAAACGGAACAUAGUCUAAAGAGGGACGUCAAACUCUUUGGACGCGAGCUAAAGGAUGAUCACCACCACCAUCCAACCACAUACCUGUUAGAAGGAAUGUGGGAAUUAUGGGAUAUUCUGAUUUCAGUUUCACCUUCGGGAUAUUCCUAAACUCAUACCGAGGGUAAACUUCGCUUUCUUUCAAAUUCGAGUGACAACACACCUAGAGUUUUGGAAAUUAUGUCUAGGUAAAUUCUUGCCUAUGCUUGUGAAGGUUAGAAACCUCUUUUCCACAACUCGAUCAUUAACUUUUCACUCAUCCUGAGCCAAAGAUCGUCUGAAAUAGAAGACUAUCUUUUUUACCGAUCGAGUCGAACUACAAGCAGUCUGAUUCCCUAAAGUCUUGGGGAUAUGUAGGAUGGGCUCUACGUAGAAAACUCGACUACAUUCCAACCUCCCCCCAAAUCCCUUUAUUCCCCAGCUUCUCGGUUUAUCAAAAGCUCUAAAAUCGCGAUAGUUGGUGAUUUUUCUUGAAAAUCAUGCUUAAAAUCAAGCUUUAUGAACUACAAGUGGCCUGAAUUCUCAUGUAACCUGAGAUAUGUAGGAAACCUAAUACCGAGGGUCGUUCAUAACUCCAUGGAACUCGUGCGGAAAACCAACAUCUCUUAGAUACAAAUUUAUAGUUGGACAAAAAUUAGGAACGUCAACCUCCCUUUGCCCAGGAUUACUUGCAUCCAUCCUACCCAAAGGGAGGGAGCAUUUGUUGACACCUAAUUUUUACCCUCCACAACUACGUUUAAUCUCGAGUUUUUUUUUAUUUUUAAUAAAAUAACAAUAUUUAUUAUAUCGAAUAAAGAAACUUUUCAAAAGUAUUUACCGGGGUAAUUUCGUUAUUUUAAGUAGCGAUUAUAAAUUAUCGUAUUCAGUUGUAUGAAGUUGUAAUGAUGUUACUUAAAUAUCUAUUUUUAUAAAAAUAUCGAAUUUUAAUCAAGGUUGCCUUGAAAUAAAUUAUAAUGACUAAAAUAUUGAUUUAAGUAUAAUUUAUUCUUGAAAAUAACUUAUUCGAAUAAAUAUAUGUUUGAUUUUAUCGAAUCAAGAAGCUCGGAGUUAAAGGAGAUAUUAAUCCAUUUCAAAUUUUCAUUUAAUUUGACCAUAAUUGAAAUCAAAUUGGCCAUAAUUGUGAUGCAAUUGGCCAAUUGAUCUUCAAUUUGGCCAAAACAUAAAUUAAUGGCCAAAUACCCAAUUUGGACCCAAUUAGCAAAUCAGUAGAAGCCCAAUUACCCUUCAAUGGACCAUCACCAAUGGCCCAAGCCACACCAGCCCACUUCCAUUAAUAACCCGGCCUAAUUCCAUUCUCCUCUUCAAACAUAAACCAUCAGAAAACAACAACAACGUCAACAACCUUCAUCAAUAAAGGACAACUCUUCUCAACCAUCGCAAUAGUACCAACAUUAGCCCGGCAAUCUGGCCAUACCCGCGAACCCAACUAACCCGUCUCUCUAUUCAACCCGACUUGUCGAUUAAGCUAUUUUGUUUGACCAGAGUUCUAGAAACUGGACACCUCACACACCACAACGGCUCAAAUCCGCGACUCUCGAUAACAAUGGUACGAUUUCGUACAUGGAUGUCACAAUUUCAUUGGUUCUUGACAGAAAUUCAUUUUCCCUAAAUCUUAUUGGUCCACCAAUUUCAAAAUUGGUACAAUCGGUAUAAUUUGUUGGGGGUAAUCCAAUUUUGAAAGAUUUUGAAUUCCUUUUUUUUUUUAAGUUCCUAACCUACCCCUAAUUUAUCUUCUAUAUAUAGACCCCUUGGGUCACUAUUUUGGGGGAUUUUUUUUGGGGAUUCUUGGCUCUGGGGUUCAAAAUUUUAGGUUGGAAAUUCGGGUUGAAAAUUUUGGGGGUCAAAAAAUUUUAUAAGUCUGAGAAGAGAGGGAAAUUUGCUUGUUUCUACGGGGGGGGGGGGGGGGGGGGGGGUUAGAGAAAUUUUGGGUUCGAAAAAGGGGAAAAUUUUGGAAAAAUAAAAGGAGACUGCUUUCAGUGAAAGUUCUUGUGUAUAAGGAAGGUUGGUGAUUGUUCAGAAUCUUUUAUUUUUUUGGAAUCACGGUAAGGUCUUCCGAUGGUAGUUGAAAUUCUGUUAAAGCCUAGAGUCCCGUUUUGUUGCUCCGAACAGGUAACAUCUCAUUCCUUUAAGCUUCGAUUGUUUCUGCUUCAUCUCACUAUUCUGUAGUAGUAAGUAAUUUAAGAUCAUUCUGUAUGUUGGGUUGUUUACUGGAGAGGCCUCAAAGGCCAUACGUUUCUCUUCUUUAUUCUAUAUGCUGGGAUUUAUCUGUCUGUUGAAGAUAUCUUAAGGAUCAUAGAUUACUGUUUUAGUGAAAGUUGUUUGGAUGUAUUGUUAUGCCUUAAUGCCUCAUUUUGUGUACUGCUUGUGGCUUGAAUAGUUGGCUUUCUGGUCAAAGUUUGUUGCUUUGAUUGAGUUUAAUAGUUUUAUCCUGAUGUUGUUUGUUCAUAGUUGUUACUUGACACGUAUUUUGGUUGUUAUUAUUACUAGAUGGUGUUGCAAUUAUUGAGCUAGCAGCGUCGCUAGCAAAACUACCUCUCAGGUUCCUUUGGCUUCUCAUAUGCCAAAAGGAUAAUGAGCAAGGUCUAAAAUCGUAUCAAAAAUGUCCUAGGAUACCUCAACGACCGCUUCAUUAGAAUCUGUCGGAAUGGGGAGGAGGGUUGGAAUAAUAGUUAUCCUUGCUGUAGUUUGUAAGGUUGUGGUUAGUCUUAUUUUUCUCGUCCCAUUAGGACGUGAUUGGCUCUAAAUUGUUGACUUUGGAGGUUCUAUUUUCCCUUUCUCAUUUGAGUUUUUGGGUCAUAUAUAUUCGUUAUGGGAAUACAUGCGGGGUUUUCAUUUAUGAAUCUUGCAGAUUGUCGAUUUCGAUUAGUGAAAAUGUCGACUUGGGCUUAUUUGUGGAGGGUUUUCUUUUAUGUUUCUAUUCUUAUCUUUCUUCUCGAUUAUUGUUUCAAAAAAAAAAGGAGUAAUCCCUUAUUUCUUAUUUAAAGUCAUUUGAGAAAUUGUUGAAAUUAGUUUAGCCGGUUUGUGUUUAAAGUAAAAGUUUUGUUAAAUCUCUUUGGUUUACGAUGUCUAAGAGGCUUAACGAAAUUGAAAACCCGAGCUCUUGUGAAAACAGAACUAAAAGGGAAAUGUUCAUGAUAUGUUCUCUCCUUUGAAAGUUCUUAUGCCAAAUCUUCCUAUGGGUAUUGUUUGGUCCAAGAGCUUUUAUUCCUAUUCAUGAAAAUUUUCACUGAUUCACUUUGUGUUUCUUUUGGAAACUGAAAAGGGGAUUAGAACAACUAUUGAGGCAUUGAGUUUGGAAUUUUAUGGGCUUAGACGUGAGGUUUGAAUUGCUUUUAUGUGUUCAUGCGAUUUUAAAUUUGUAUUAGGAUUGUAUAAUGAAUGUUUGUUACGUAUAGUCCUUGCUGACACUUAUUCAUAAACACGAGAUAGCAGAUUUAUGCUUCUCUUUGUGUUUCACUUUAUAUUUUGAACAUGCUCUCGAAAUAAAAACUGCUAAUACACAAUUAUAACCUCUUUCAAGUAGUAAACUGAAUUGUAUUAAGUAACAGUAAGGUGGAGGCAACAUUCCAAAGAGAAUGUGUUAAAAUUAUGUGGUAUCUUGUUCUUUUCCUACGCUGCCAUCACUCUAUUUUAUUUUAUUUUAUCUUGUCCCUUUUCCAUUACUCAUAUCACUAUGUCUUAUUGAGUGAUGUUUAAAUUUAUCAACUUAUGUGAUUCGAAUUCUAAUUUCUUGCCUUUUCUUCCUUCACAUGUCAAUUUGCAUUGGAGUCCACAAUAGACUCCUUCCUAUCGCAUUAUCAAGUGGGCCAGUGAGGCCUAUAUCCUCAAGGAUCAAUUCCCGAAGUGAUUCUAUGGCACUCCAGUAAGAAGAUAGAAGCAGAUAGCGGGCCCAAGAUCAUUGACAAAGUUACUAGGAUUUGGAAGCGCAAAAAGUCUCAUCUUCUUUAGUUUAUUUAGCGUUGAGUUGAUUGUUUUUUAUUCAUUUAGUUGUUUAUUUAUGCAUUCAUUCGGGCCACGAAGCCAAGGUUGUAUCUAAUAUAGGUGGAGCAAGAUUCGAGCCAAAGGCUCAACAAUUAGAUUAGGAUAUGUGAAAUGGGUCGAAAGCCCAACUAGAUUAGAGCAGGUCUCGUUAAUUUAGGCCCAAUGGCCUAAAUCCUUUACUUUCUCCUCCCUUCCCCUUUUAAUUGUUUAUUUGUUUAUCAGUUUUGUUUCAACUUAGUUAAAAUCCCUACUAAGUCGCCUAAAUCUAUUUUACACAAGUCCUUUUUUUUUUUUAAAUCAAAUCACUAUUUCAACAAAUUAAUCUUUUCAGAAGUUAAUCAAAAGAUGUUUUCAAACAGUCCGGAUAAUCGCAAGUUAGCGGAUGUUUAGGUGCCUAACACCUUCCUAAAAUGUUAAUAGGAACCGCUUAUCUAGAAUCUUUAACUUAAAAUGAUUUUUCUGUUUUGAAUCGUUUGAAGUAACUCGCUAAUGGAUUCUUAAUUCCUUUUCAAAAUUAAGUGGCGACUCUCUCAAAAAGUAAAAAAUUUUUGUCAAAAAACACCCCCCGUAGAGUCGUCUUAUAUAUAUACACAAAGAGAUGAGAAACAACCUACCAAAGUAAUUUCACCAAAAAUAAAUAUUAGUAUUGUCCAAAUCCUUACAUAUUUCAAAGAUUAAAAGAACAAUCAUAAGAAUUGCCAAUUACAAAAACAAUAAUAUAACUAGUAUAAUUUCAUAAAUGGGUCCAUAACGAGAUUGAACCUUUUCAAUGAAGAGAAAAAAAGAAAACAUUAAAAAAUUAGAUUAGCUUGAGUGAAAUUCACCUUCAGAAUUGGUAGAGAAGACAGGAGAAAUACAAAGAAUGGCUUGAAACAAGAAGAGAAAGGAGGAAGGAAAAGCCAUUGAGAGAAAAUGGAGAAACAAUGGAAGUGAAAAGUCAAGAUCAAUAGACGAAAAGAUGAAAGGCUCCCGUAGCCGUCGUCUUAUAUAUAUGAAAGAAGAUGGCGGACCAGUUUGAAUGAAGAGACUUGUUGAUUAUCUUCAUUGAUUCUCAAAUCAGAUAUUAAAAAAAUUAAUUAGAAGAUGGAGAAGUUAAUUAUCUUUACUGAUUCUCAAAUCAGAUAUAAAAAAAAUAAUUAGAAAAUGGAGAAGAUAAUGGAGUAAAGAUGAAAGAGCGGGUGGGGUGGAGGGUUGAAGGGGGACCAGUUUUUAUUUUUAUUUUUAUUUUUUUAAAAAACUUAUACUAAUUAAUUUUUAAUAAUUAUUGGACCUACAAUGCCAUGUGUCAUCUUCCAAUUAGCCCUUUAUGCCAUGUAAUAGCAAGUGUAUUACACACACUUUAUAAUUUUUGAUAAAUAUUCGAUAGUGCCUACUAGGAACAAUUUUCUAUACGGUAUAAGUGUUUAAUAGGAACCAGUCUUAGUUGAGGGGUUUAAGUAAAUUUUUGGGACAACUUUAAGUGCAUUUCGAUGACUUAAGCCAUAAAAAAUACAAUCAAGCAAGGAUUCAUGCUAAGCAUUAUCAUCCAUCAGAAAAUCUUUACUAUUAAAGCAUCAAUAUGUGUACCAACUAAAUAAGCCUCUGUAACUUUAAUAAAUUCUUGUCUAAAUCACAAAAUUUAGCCGUAUCUGUAUCAAACUACAACUAAACACUUAAGGUAUAGACGUUUUUCAAAUGCCCACAUGUAUAUCAUGGGAAAAUAGACUUUUUUGUCCCUCCUCCAGGAAAUCACCUCACAGUUUUCUGAAUUUUAGUCAUAAUUCACUUGCACCAAAGGAUCAACACUAACAAAGCAAAUAUUUUCUACUUUCCUUUGCUCUUUAUCUAAAUAAAUAUUCCUGAUAUGAUCGUUAAAUUCUCCUCACUUGGGCCAUUUAUUUGAAAGUUAAGUACAUAUAUGCACAUUUUAGAUGAAAAAAGUUCCUCUUUUUAGAUGGUGUACGUGUACACCAAGUGAAAGACCGAACGAAUUAAAAUGACAAAUAUUCCCUUGAAAAGAAUUUAAAUGACAAGUAGCAGCCAUGUAGAUCUUCUAAUUCUUACUCACACUUCUAAUAUAGUAGAAAAAUGCAUGUAUAAACUAUUAAAGCUAGCAAUUACUUAGAAACAAUUCAUAAAUAAAAUAUGAAACUAUUUAUAGCAACAGAGCAGUUUUAUAGAACAAACACAGUUGCUUACCCAAGUAAAAUUAAUUUUCGACAAUGUCUGUAUAAUAUAUAUCAUAUAAACUACAGUUAGUUUCUAGCUAUAACUUCAUAGAUUUAUUUGCAUUUUCAAUAGAACAAUCAUGAGUUUCUCUGUAAAAAAAAAAAAAAAAGAAAUCAUAGACAGUUCAGUAACCUUUGUUUGCGAAAAUAGAGUAUUAACCCUCUUCGCCUAAACACAAAAGUUCACUAAAAGAUUGAAAGAAGCAUUGACCAUAUGUAAUAUUUUCAUCUUCUAGUCUCACCAUAAAAUGUGACACCAUUGUAUUGAGAACUCCGAAAUCAGGAGCGACGACAUCUUAUGAUAAUUACACAUAAAUCACGAAACAGAAUUUUUAAUUUCAUCAAGAAAAAAACGAAAGUGGGCAUCUCAUCAAAUACGUUGGAUGCAUACCACAAAUAAAACUUUUGGAGUCUCAAGCAACAAAUAAAAUUCUAUAAUGAAAUCAAAUGUGAUACAUAAAAAUUAUAUUAUAAGAAGAAGAAAAUACACCAGAAAAUAGAGGUACAUCAAUAAUCUGUUAGUUCAUUCUUGUCACACUUUCUGAAACUCUACCCUUUUAUAUAUCUUGAGCAAUUUAAAAAGAACUAAGAGAAAAUUAAAGCAAAAAUAGAUAAAACUUACCUGCAAUUGCAAGAGAAGAUGAAGAGAACUACAUGUUUGUAAGGAAAAGCAAAUGGCG
rnacentral:lncRNA from 1 species